UACGUAGGGCGCAAGCGUUGUCCGGAAUUAUUGGGCGUAAAGAGCUCGUAGGCGGUCUGUCGCGUCCGUUGUGAAAACUCGAGGCUCAACCUCGGGCUUGCAGUGGAUACGGGCAGACUAGAGUGCGGUAGGGGAGACUGGAAUUCCUGGUGUAGCGGUGGAAUGCGCAGAUAUCAGGAGGAACACCGAUGGCGAAGGCAGGUCUCUGGGCCGAUACUGACGCUGAGGAGCGAAAGCGUGGGGAGCGAACAGG
rnacentral:rRNA from 1 species